AUGCAAAUAAGUGAAAAGGAAGAUGAUGAUAAUGAGAAGAGAGAAGAUCCAGGAGAUAAUUGGGAAGAAGGUGGAGGUGGCAGUGGAGCAGAAAAAUCUUCAGGUCCCUGGAAUAAAACCGCUCCGGUACAAGCGCCUCCUGCUCCAGUAACAGUUACAGAAACCCCGGAGCCAGCAAUGCCCAGUGGUGUAUACAGGCCUCCUGGGGCAAGGCUAACCACAACAAGGAAAACGCCACAAGGACCACCGGAAAUAUACAGUGACACGCAGUUCCCAUCCCUGCAGUCCACUGCCAAGCAUGUAGAGAGCCGGGACAGGUACUUACAAUGA
rnacentral:lncRNA from 1 species